rnacentral:rRNA from 1 species
AGAAUGACUCUCGGCAACGGAUAUCUAGGCUCUUGCAUCGAUGAAGAACGUAGCGAAAUGCGAUACUUGGUGUGAAUUGCAGAAUCCCGUGAACCAUCGAGUCUUUGAACGCAAGUUGCGCCCGAAGCCAUUAGGUUGAGGGCACGCCUGCCUGGGCGUCACAU